UGAAAGAAAAAAAAAAAAGAGAUAUAUGAUGUGAUUAAUUGAUACAAUGGUGAAAAAUACACUUGUGCAUAGUAGACAAAGACUUAUUUUUCAUCCUUUUAGCUAUAGUUAUGAUUAAGAUUAAUUAGAGAUGUAAAUGAAUUGAUGCUAUUAGCUAUUCAUGAAUAAAUAAAUUUGUUUUGUUUAGUGCUUGAUAAAUGAAUUGUAAGUGCAAGGUUUGAUCUCCACAAAGUACUAGUUUUUGG
rnacentral:lncRNA from 1 species